rnacentral:rRNA from 1 species
UACGUAGGCAGCGAGCGUUGUUCGGAGUUACUGGGCGUAAAAAGGUGUGUAGGCGGUUCUCUAAGUUUGGUGUGAAAUCUCCCGGCUCAACCGGGAGGGUGCGCCGAAAACUGGAGGGCUAGAGUGCGGGGAAGGGAGAGUAGAAAUUCCUGGGUGUAGCGGUGAAAUGCGUAGAUAUCAGGAGGAAUACCGGUGGUGUAGACGGCUCUCUGGACCGCGACUGACGCUGAGACACGGAAAAGCGUGGGGUAGCAAAACAGG